rnacentral:lncRNA from 1 species
CUAUGUUGCUGAGCCAACUAGCCUGGUCCCGAUCACGUUCACAACCAAAGACUCCCUUCUAUGGUCUCAGGCGCUAGUUUACCAAACAAACUAUCAAACAUGGCAACAACGUUUGCACGCUGUGCUAGUGGUUUUACUUUCAUCGCUACUUGGAACCGAUAAACCGCACAGAGACGUUCUCGAACACUCUCUCUACGUCAUUUUCAAGCGGGUAUCCAGGUAAAUCCAGCUUCAAGACUGGCUCGAGGAAAGGACCUAGCUAACAUCACUUCAAUGAAGAUUAGCUGCCUAACUAAGAUAGAAGUAGUU